rnacentral:rRNA from 1 species
UUAACACAUGACAAGUCGAACGCCCGUAGCAAUACGGGAGUGGCGGACGGGUGAGUAACGCGUGGGAACGUACCCUGAGGUACGGAAUACCGGAAGGGAAACUUCGGCUAAUACCGUAUGACGCCCCGCGAAGGGGGAAAGAUUUUAUCGCCUUGGGAGCGGCCCGCGUCGGAUUAGCUAGUUGGUGGGGUAACGGCCUACCAAGGCUUCGAUCCGUAGCUGGUCUGAGAGGACGAUCAGCCACACUGGGACUGAGACACGGCCCAGACUCCUACGGGAGGCAGCAGUGGGGAAUCUUGCGCAAUGGGGGCAACCCUGACGCAGCCAUGCCGCGUGAACGAUGAAGGCCUUAGGGUUGUAAAGUUCUUUACCCGUGACGAUGAUGACGGUAACGGGGGAAUAAGCUCCGGCUAACUUCGUG